CAGGGAUUACCUCAGUAACGGCGAGUGAAGCGGUAACAGCUCAAAUUUGAAAGCUAGCUCUUCUAGGGUUCGCAUUGUAAUUUGUAGAAGAUGCUUCGGGUGUGGCCCCGGUCUAAGUUCCUUGGAACAGGACGUCAUAGAGGGUGAGAAUCCCGUAUGUGACUGGGUGCUUUCGCUCAUGUGAAGCUCUUUCGACGAGUCGAGUUGUUUGGGAAUGCAGCUCAAAAUGGGUGGUAAAUUUCAUCUAAAGCUAAAUAUUGGCCAGAGACCGAUAGCGCACAAGUAGAGUGAUCGAAAGAUGAAAAGCACUUUGGAAAGAGAGUUAAACAGUACGUGAAAUUGUUGAAAGGGAAGCGCUUGCAACCAGACUUGCGCGCUGAUGAUCAUCCGGGCUUCUGCCCGGUGCACUCGUCUGCGCUCAGGCCAGCAUCGGUUUCGGUGGUGGGAUAAAGGCCUUGGGAAUGUAGCUUCUUUCGGGGAGUGUUAUAGCCCUCGGUGCAAUGCCGCCUACCGGGACCGAGGACCGCGCUUCGGCUAGGAUGCUGGCGUAAUGGUUGUAAGCGACCCGUCUUGAAACACGGACCAAGGAGUCUAACAUCUAUGCGAGUGUUUGGGUGUCAAACCCAUACGCGUAAUGAAAGUGAACGGAGGUGAGAACCCUUAAGGGUGCAUCAUCGACCGAUCCUGAUGUCUUCGGAUGGAUUUGAGUAAGAGCAUAGCUGUUGGGACCCGAAAGAUGGUGAACUAUGCGUGAAUAGGGUGAAGCCAGAGGAAACUCUGGUGGAGGCUCGCAGCGGUUCUGACGUGCAAAUCGAUCGUCAAAUUUGCGUAUAGGGCGAAAGACUAAUCGA
rnacentral:rRNA from 1 species